AUCAUUAAAGGGGGACAUGGCUAAGAUAAUUAGCACCUUUCCUCAGUUCCUCUCUACUAUCUAGUAUUGUCAGUUCAGUGGAUGACAUCCUUUAUUUAUGUAACAGGCCAAAUUAUGCAACCUGUUUGUGUAACUGGGCGUGUCUCAGGAAAAAUGAUCUGCAACAAAGAGAACGACUGUGUGGAAGCUGUCAAAUGUAUAACCCCAAACCUGAUUUUGCAGGUAUCAGCUCAAUAAUACACAAGCAAAAUCUAACUCCUGAAGCUGUGUGUGGAGUAGAUGAGAGUUGGCUUAUUGUGCAAAUGUCAACAUUUUUGUUAAAAUGUGUCCAAAAUUUUGACCUUUUAACAACAUCACAAAAAAAUUAGCUACAGCUGAAUCUCUAAAAACAAUUGCACAUAAUGUUUCUGACUGGUAUAAUCACCAUUUGAUCAAAGACUUAAUCAAUUUAUGCUCUGUACAAUGAACUUGAUUCAGAAUCAAUCUCAGAGGGGCCAGGAUAGAUGCCAAGGAGUCUAAGAGAGAAAAACAAAGAAACAGCAUCCUCCCUUGUUUAUAACCAUGAAGCUUUACUGUAAGUAUAAUUUUUUUUUUUUUUUUUUGCUUUUUUCUAUCUUUUGAAAUUUUGUAAAUACUUCCUUUUACCAACACAUUAAGUAAAGAUACCACCCACACCAGGAGCCAGCGUGGGCUGUUGGUAAUACACACAUGUGAACAAGAUGCCAAGGGCAGUGCAAUUAUCUCCAUACAUUUUAUUAUUCAUCUGCAUUAUGGAGCAGCCUUUGCUGUUGUUGCAUGUUCUAAAUCCAUCACCCAGGGCGCCUUGGAUACCUUUAGGUCAUAUCACAUCAUUUAUAAAGCCAUGGCACAGCACAGCAUGUUGCAUCACACCACCUCAUCUCAUCUUUCUAAUUUUUCUUCCCAUAUCCCAUUUCUUCUCUACUUAAUCUCGCUGAUCUUAAAUGCCAUAUAUGUUCUCAUUCUCACUUUUCAUCAUUUCAUGUUGCUCAUCUCAGUAUUAAAUUAUUGUCUUUCUUUUAAAUUACGCUCAAAUUGUGGACGGGACAACUAAAUUUUAUUUAUUGUGCCCGGAGAAAAACAGAUGUUGGGAGUGGAGGAGUGUUGAGUGCAUGCGUGUGUGCAUGUGCGUGUGCAUAUAUGUGUGUGUGUGUCCGUGUGUGUCUCCUGGCCACAGCAACAUGGAGGACUGCAGUCCCAGCGUAUGAACUUACAGAUCACAGAAGUUAUGAAAAUUUCUUUGAUCAUUUCCAUUUCUAAAAUAAUUUCCUUUGAACAUUUCAAGUCACUUUUGCUUUUAUUUAUAAAGCCUAUUUAGACAAUCAAGGAAUUGAAAAUAAUUAGGCUCACACGCACAUGAGUGUGGACAUGUACUCCCUUUCAAUCAGUUUAAACCAGCUCCGUUAAUUAAAGUUCUGAGCUGCUACUCUGCUCAAAUAAUUUUCUUAUUAGCUGCUGCAUUCUUUAGAUCUGUUGUCAGCAGCAUGUAUUUUCUUCUGGUUGCUCCUUUCAGUGUUUUUUUUUCUCCACAGAAAUCCCAAUGACCCAUAUAGUUGAUCUCAGUUUUGAAGUGAAUAAUAUACAUUCCAAGUUAAGAGAACGGAGGCUCUAUUAUUAGUCCUAUUCGAAUUGCACAACUGCUGUGUAGGUACUGCUGUGUGCUGCUGAAUUCCCUGAGAGAAGGCAUUACCAUCUCAUUUGGGUGAGGGUGAGAUUACUUCAUGCAACCAAGCUGUUUAAUCACAGGAAAAUGUAGAGGAUCUGAGCCUUUGUUGCUGAAUGUUUAUUCAGACAACUGAAAGCAGAGGCAGUCCACAUACAUUUCACCAACAUCACACAUGACAACUUGUGAUGCCACCUUACUGAUGUUUCUCUUAAAGGUCUCUCACUAACAACAACAUCCUAUUGAUCCUCUGCACCAUUUUAACAGCCACCUCACACAUUUUCACACAUGCACACCUGAGUGGGUAUGGAUUGAAAAUGCUAGCAGCUAACUUUGCCAACACACUCUUUGCUACAGUUGUCAAUUACACCCAGUCACUGCAGGAUUGGCCCAAGAGGAGUCCUGUGCAUUGAGAGGAUGAUAAAAAUAAGAAGUGGAAAUAACCUCAGUGCAGAAUUAAUAUGCAAUACUUACAUUUGUCCUGAUUAAAAGGCUGUGGCUCAUGAUGAGCAAUCAAAACAAGAAAUAAACUACUUGGAUUAAAAUCCUGCUUUUAAUUGGAUAGAUGAAAGACGCAAUUAGUUGCAGUUGAGCUAAGUCCUUUUUUCCAUGUCAGCUUGUCCUCAUUUAUUAAAACUGGGGAAAAUAGUGAUAAAUUUAACCAUACUUUUGUUUCUUUUUUAUCACUUAUGAGAUGAGAUACCAAGGUCCAUUUGACACAACAGGUUUUCAUUAAAACUGACAUUUUUUUAUUUGUCUUUUUUUUUUUUAAAUCAAGCUCAGUUUUUACAUAAAUUGUCAUUAAUGUGUUAAUAGAACUAUAAUUUCAUAACUAGGCCCAUAGAUUAAAGAGGCAUUACCAGAGUGCAUCCUACUAGGACAUUUUCAUUUAUUUAUUUAUUUACUUAAAUUAUUCUAAAGGCACUUAAUUAGCAUAACUGAAUAAAGAUCUAAACAAUAUUGGCACAAUAAAAGUAGACUGUUGUACAGAUUUGCAUUUGAAGUGAUACCCAAUCUGCUUAUUGUUCGCUCCUACUCAAACCAAUUUUCACACAUCUCAUACUGUAUCACCUGUUGGGGACAGGCCAGUGAAUCUGCCAUCAGACCUCUAGAAUCACUAUGUCAACAAGCUCUAAAAAUCUUUGACAAAAGCCAUUCCUGUACCAUCAUUGGAAGAGUCUCCAGAAACGUAACCUAAUGAGUUUUGAAAGUUUUGAAUAAGAUCUUAAAUGGCAUGAUGCCUGCAUCUUUACUGGAUUUUGUCUAUCACCCUGCUAGUUCUGUAAAAUCCACCCGAAAUACUUCCAUUUAUAACUGCUAUAACCAUAUAUGCUAUUUGUAUGCUAUUUUUUUGUGUGGCAUGCCAAAGGGCUGCAGACGUAAAUUAGCCUAAGGAUAACUCUGUGUAUCAAAUGGCAACAUUUAUGUUUAAAAUUUUAUGUUGCACAUAUGUGAUAAAGAACUUUUCAUUGAGACCUAUUUUGUAUGAUGACCGAGUGUUUCACCACAUUUUAUGCUAUUGUUGGUCAACACAUGAAUAAUAUUUGCUUACAGCUAUAUCGUUGUGUGCUCUUUACCACAAUUCUUUUGUUAAUUACUCCAACUCUGAUUAUGAGAGUUGUAGUCUGAGCUGCUGUUAAACUCUUCUGCCUGGAGUGGUGUUUCUAAUAUUUCAUGUAUCUUCUUUGAUUAAAAUGGUCUGGGCAAACUAUACUUUUCAGUAUAAUGCAAUACAACUCAAUAGCACCACAACCUACGGCCCUCCAAAUUACCAUAAAUAUUGAGUCAACAAUAUUUCCAACAUUUGUAUCAAGACUGAACACUGUAACCCCUCGAAGCAAGAAUUUAUUGCAAUAUAGUUGUAUUUGACUGUGUUAGGAAUAUAGACAUUUAUUUAGAUCAGUGUGGCUAACAAACUGUAAGCUGAAUUUGCAAUGCACACUGUAUAUUAUACUCCUGAAAUAAUAAUAAAAUAAAUACAACUUUAGCCAGGAAAGGGGCAUACCCCAUCUCUUUUUCAUUCUUUAUUACUGUAACCGUUUGUAUAUUUGUAGGAAUGGGUUACUCAUUUUGUGGAAAUACAAUUUCAGACAGAUAAUGAGGUAGCUGUUGGAGUUCCAGGAGCAGAGCUACUGUGUUACUUUUUUAAAGCAUGAGUUUAAUGUUGUGGAAAUGGGACAAGAUGACCAGUAGUGUCACUCUGUUAUUGCACCGAUGUUGCUCAUCAAUCAGAAAUCAAAGCUUUGACAGUUGGCAGCAUUAAAGGGCUGCUGCUGGCGUGUCCUGUGCCAGGAGGCUUCUUUUUUCCUGAUCGUGUUAAACCACUGUAGGCUGACAGAAGGUUCAUCAUAUACAGGAGGAUGGAUGCUUCUAAGCUGUGUCAGGGGCCGUUGCAGGAGUUUAUUGUAAGACUUGAUGAAAUCAAGAUAUUGUCUGUAAAAAAAGUUAAGCUCAAAGAUUCAUUCUUACCAAUAAAAAUAACAUUAUGUCUCUGUUUCACAAAGUUAAGUUUGCAUGUGGAUCCAAUUUAUUUGUCACAAAACUAAAAAGUAAGUAGUGUCCUUGAGUGUUGCCAAAGGGCCUUCAAAUUGUCUUCAUUCCAUCUUCGUGUCUUCAUG